rnacentral:rRNA from 1 species
UCAUGCCUACGGGGCGCAGCAGUGGGGGAUAUUGCACAAUGGGGGGAACCCUGAUGCAGCGACGCCGCGUGAGCGAUGAAGUAUUUCGGUAUGUAAAGCUCUAUCAGCAGGGAAGAAAAUGACGGUACCUGACUAAGAAGCCCCGGCUAACUACGUGCCAGCAGCCGCGGUAAUACGUAGGGCGCAAGCGUUAUCCGGAUUUACUGGGUGUAACGGGAGCGGAGAUGGCUGUGCAAGUCUGAAGUGAAAG